AUUAUAUAAGGAUUUUGUUUGAUAAAAUUGGAACGAUACAUAUAAGAUUAGCAUGGCCCAUGAACAAGGAUGCACUGUUUAAGGAGUUUUUUAUGUUU
rnacentral:snRNA from 1 species